rnacentral:rRNA from 1 species
CAGCAGUGGGGAAUAUUGCACAAUGGGCGCAAGCCUGAUGCAGCCAUGCCGCGUGUAUGAAGAAGGCCUUCGGGUUGUAAAGUACUUUCAGCGAGGAGGAAGGCGUUAAGGUUAAUAACCUUAGCGAUUGACGUUACUCGCAGAAGAAGCACCGGCUAACUCCGUGCCAGCAGCCGCGGUAAUACGGAGGGUGCAAGCGUUAAUCGGAAUUACUGGGCGUAAAGCGCACGCAGGCGGUUUGUUAAGUCAGAUGUGAAAUCCCCGGGCUCAACCUGGGAACUGCAUUUGAAACUGGCAAGCUUGAGUCUCGUAGAGGGGGGUAGAAUUCCAGGUGUAGCGGUGAAAUGCGUAGAGAUCUGGAGGAAUACCGGUGGCGAAGGCGGCCCCCUGGACGAAGACUGACGCUCAGGUGCGAAAGCGUGGGGAGCAAACAGGAUUAGAUACCCUGGUAGUCCACGCCGUAAACGAUGUCUAUUUGGAGGUUGUUCCCUUGAGGAGUGGCUUCCGGAGCUAACGCGUUAAAUAGACCGCCUGGGGAGUACGGCCGCAAGGUUAAAACUCAAAUGAAUUGACGGGGGCCCGCACAAGCGGUGGAGCAUGUGGUUUAAUUCGAUGCAACGCGAAGAACCUUACCUACUCUUGACAUCCAGAGAACUUAGCAGAGAUGCUUUGGUGCCUUCGGGAACUCUGAGACAGGUGCUGCAUGGCUGUCGUCAGCUCGUGUUGUGAAAUGUUGGGUUAAGUCCCGCAACGAGCGCAACCCUUAUCCUUUGUUGCCAGCGNNNNNNNNNNGAGUCUGCAACUCGACUCCAUGAAGUCGGAAUCGCUAGUAAUCGUAGAUCAGAAUGCUACGGUGAAUACGUUCCCGGGCCUUGUACACACCGCCCGUCACACCAUGGGAGUGGGUUGCAAAAGAAGUAGGUAGCUUAACCUUCGGGAGGGCGCUUACCACUUUGUGAUUCAUGACUGGGGUGAAGUCGUAACAAGGUAACCGUAGGGGAACCUGCGGUUGGAUCACCUCCUUA